rfam:Schistosoma haematobium scaffold1250_4, whole genome shotgun sequence.
AUCCAGCCAACGAGUCCCAAAUAGGACGAAACGCGCGUCCUGGAU